rnacentral:sRNA from 1 species
GCGGACGGGAAGGCGGGAGAGGAGAAGCCUGAAAAGUCGCAGCGAGCUGGAGCCGCCGGAGAGUGAACCAGAGGAAAUGCCUCCAGAAGCAAAGAUGAGGAUGAAGAAUAUUGGAAGGGAUACACCAACAUCAGCUGGACCAAACUCCUUCAAUAAAGGAAAGCAUGGGUUUUCUGAUAACCAGAAGCUGUGGGAGCGAAAUAUAAAAUCUCAUCUUGGAAAUGUCCAUGACCAAGACAAUUAAAUGAUGUUUUGAAAUUGGGGUGUGGGGUGGGUGUAAAGUUAAAAGGAACAGUUUCCUUUUUUAAAGAAUGGUAUAAGACUAUCUUUGGAGCCGCUUUUUUUUUCUUUUUCAUUUUUUUAAAAGAUUGAGUGGUACACUAAUAAAUGAGAGUGAAAUUAGAGGUAAUUUAUGUUUUAUAUACAGAUUUCAAGACAUUUGCUAAUUUUGUAGUUUCAUGUGAUUAGUUUCCAAAGGUUACAGAUAAUAAAGAAAUCAGAAAUGGUACCUUUUUAAGAAUUGCAUAUUUUUUUAGACACAACUAUUAGCACAUUAAGAGGGAAGCAAAGUUACUGUCUAUUUAAAACUGCGAGCAGUUAACUCUCUUAACUCCCUUAUUACCUAAACUUGUCUGGCUCCCAGGAACAGCCUUAUAGAGAGAGGGAGUAUUGUAUUGGGAAGAAAAUGUUACUGAACUAUUGACUGAAAGUAAAUUUAGAUAAAAUACAGCUUUUUUCCU